ACGCAUUCAUCUCCAUCUGCCUCAAAGCAUCAGGAAAACAUGGUGCUUUGGGUUCAAUUUGUUUUCUUUUUCAUGCUUUUCAGAGAUGUUCUGUCUGAGGUUCAGCUGGUGGAGUCCGGAGGUGGUCUCAGAAGUCCUGGAGGCUCCAUCCAACUCUCCUGUCGAGCCUCAGGGUUCACCUUCAGUAGCUACGCAAUGAGCUGGGUCAGACAGGCUCCUGGGAAGGGGCUGGAAUGGGUGGCCUUCAUACAUACAUCCUCAACUCCAAUUUAUUAUGCGGAUUCGGUGAGGGGUCGCUUCACCAUCUCCAGGGAUGACUCCAACAGCCUGGUGAAGCUGCAAAUGAACAGCCUGAAGCCCGAAGACACGGCCGUCUAUUAUUGUGCGAGACGAGCCGCACAGUGA